ensembl:misc_RNA Metazoa_SRP Metazoan signal recognition particle RNA
GCUGGGUGUGGUGGUGCACGCCUGUAAUCCCAGCCACUUGGGAGGCUGAGGCAGGAGAAUUGCUUGAACCUAGGAGGCGGAGGUUGCAGUGAGCUCAGAUCACGCCACUGAGCUCCAGCCUGGGUGGCAAAGUGAGACUCUGUCUCAA